AACAUGACUUUGAUCUGCGUCCUCAUCUGGACUCUCCUCUGCUGCUGCUUCACAGAGUCCAGAGGACAGAUCACAGUGACUCAGCCUGGAGCAGUGAGCUCUGCUGUGGGAGGAACUGUGAACAUCGAGUGUAAAGUCAGUGAGGAUGUUUAUGGCUUGUUAGCCUGGUACCAACAGAAAGAUGGAGAUCCCCCUAAACUGCUCAUUUAUGCUGCUGACACUCUAGAAUCAGGGAUUCCAGAUCGUUUUGCGGGCAGUGGAUCAGACUCUGAUUUCAUUUUGACCAUCAGUGGAGUCCAGGCUGAAGAUGCAGCAGUUUAUUACUGUCAGAGUUAUCAUGUUAUCAACAGUCAGCUUGUGUUGACACAGUGAAAAACAGUCGUACAA